rnacentral:tRNA from 1 species
GGAGGGUUGGCAGAGCGGUUGAAUGCACUGGUCUUGAAAACCAGCAUGGAUUAGUAGUCCAUCCGGGGUUCGAAUCCCCGACCCUCCUCCA